rnacentral:rRNA from 1 species
AGAACGAACGCUGGCGGCAUGCCUAAUACAUGCAAGUCGAACGAACUCUUCGGAGUUAGUGGCGCACGGGUGCGUAACGCGUGGGAAUCUGCCCUUGGGUUCGGAAUAACAGUUGGAAACGACUGCUAAUACCGGAUGAUGACGAAAGUCCAAAGAUUUAUCGCCCAGGGAUGAGCCCGCGUAGGAUUAGCUAGUUGGUGAGGUAAAGGCUACACCAAGGCGACGAUCCGUUAGCUGGUCUAGAGAGGAUGAUCAGCCACGACGUGGGACUGGAGACGACCGGCCAGACCUCCGA